GACGAACCGUGCGAACGUUAUUCGGAAUCACUGGGCUUAAAGCGCGUGUAGGCGGGACGGCACGUCCGGCGCUGAAAUCCCCCGGCUCAACCGGGGAACGGGCGCGGAUACGACCGGCCUGGAGGGACGUAGGGGGACCUGGAACUUCCGGUGGAGCGGUGAAAUGCGUUGAGAUCGGAAGGAACGCCCGUGGCGAAAGCGGCGACCUGGACAGUGACUGACACUCAACUACGAAAGCGUGGGGAGCAAACAGG
rnacentral:rRNA from 1 species